rnacentral:rRNA from 1 species
GACGAACGCUGGCGGCGUGCUUAACACAUGCAAGUCGAGCGGUAAGGCCCUUUCGGGGGUACACGAGCGGCGAACGGGUGAGUAACACGUGGGUGACCUGCCCUCAGCUCUGGGAUAAGCCUGGGAAACCGGGUCUAAUACUGGAUAUGACUCCAUGACGCAUGUUGUGGGGUGGAAAGCCUUGUGCGGCUGAGGAUGGGCCCGCGGCCUAUCAGCUUGUUGGUGGGGUGANGGCCUAC